GGGAGCUGCAGUGCCAGGAUUUAUCUUCCGUCUCCAGCUUGUGCAACUUGGAGAAAGAUGAUGCCCUUCGCUGAGGCGGGCGCUGCGCAAGGAGAGCCAGGCUGUGUUCUGCUCAGUCUCCUCUAAUCCUCUGUGGAAUAUGCAGGGCAUGAAUGAAGAAGUGAAGCAAGCAGCAACCACAGGAGGGCAAGGACUUUGUGUGGUUUUGUUCAGCUACAUACCCCAGCACCUAAUGCAGAGAAGACAGGCAAGGAAUUGUGCUCUAUCGACUGAGUCAGCGAACCAAACCCCUAUACUGGUGACUUCAUCCCACAGACUGCUGCAGCGGAAGACACUAAUUCUGUUUCCACCUCACAGCGUAUCUUCAUUCAGAAGAAGUAUCACGCUUCCCUGGCAGUACCACUUCUUCAGCACUACCAAGUGCAGUCCUGAUUGGGGGCUUCUAGUACCCGUUCUCCUUUUCUUCAAUUACAGCAACCCCCACGUUUUAGCAGAGUACAAAACUGCCUGCUACAGACUACACCUGCAACCAAGUGUACCAUGUGACUACGCUGAGGCCAACGGGGCACAAACAGGAGUGAUAUGUGUAAUUUCUGGAUCUUCUCCUGAAAGGCACUUGUGCUGUAUUCAUUCUCUCUGCUUUCUCUCCCUCUGUCUGGUAAAUGGUGAUGCCUGGAGAAACCCUGUAAGUCAUGAGUUAAUAGAUGGUGGAGCUGCCUUAUCAGCCUGGGACAGCUCAGUUUUAGACUACGAACAGGAAAGUAAAAUCAUCUACCUACUUCGUUAACCCACUUUAUUUUUUCUGGUGAGCAGAGAAUAAUGAUGGGGGAUGUCAUACUAAUGUAGCAACUAAAGAACCACUUCCACCUAUCUUCAUUUUAUACUGAUACACAUUUUCAAUCCCUCCUUUUAAUCUCUACUUUUGAACUUGCUGUCACAUUACUGAACUUCUACUAUUCUACUCAACUGAACUUCUAACUCACAUAGUGGCUUCCUUUGAAGGCAUGCGCUCUCUGAUGUAGGACACAGAUAGUGUAGUGUGGAAAAGGAAGAGUGGAUUCAAAGGUUGAUGAUCCUGCUCCUUAUCCUGGGGGGGUCUUAGACAAAACCUCAAGUCCACUGAAAUAAAGACUUGCAGCCAAAAUUAACUUCCUAACAAAGGGAUAAUGGUUAAAUAUUUGCUUUGUCUCGCUCCCUGGCCUAACAUCUUAUGGCUACCCCAUCUCAAAUUUUACUCAGCUAAUACAAUGAAGGCAUUCUGGCACCAUGGCUAACAGUGCAGACCCUGGCAUCAAAGGAAAUCUGGGUAUGAACUCCCAACCUUGCCACUUGCUACUAAUGUGACUAUGGGCAAGUUAACUACUCCAAGUCUCAGUUUCCUCACCUGUCUAAUAGGGCAGCUAUGAAAAAUUAAAGAAAAUAGUACACACCAAGUAUUUCGAAUACUGACAGAUGACUCAAUGCUAGUUGUUAUGACAACUCUAUCCUUUCCAAGUGCUAUUCCCUCUUCCAAGAAUAUUGUCCUCCUUUUGUCUACCUGGAAUUCCUCAUUCAUGCUAACUCAUGCCUUGUGAUGCCUUCCCACCUCCUCAGCCUGCCAGAAGCAAUCAAUUGUCCCUCACUGGUGCUGAGGAGACAUGUAU